rnacentral:lncRNA from 1 species
GUGGUCACAGUAUUCAGAGGAGAAUCGCAGAGUUCCAAGUUGCACUAUCGACUUGCCCAACUUGCUAUAUCUUUCUCACAAAAACAUUGGACUCUGCUACCUUUUGUGUUUAUCUCAAGCUCAUCAUCAUACCAUAUUUUAAACACUAAAUUUGAAUCAUAUUAUAUAAAAAGAAAAAGUUCUCUCUCAAGUCUCAAUGAAACAUGGCGCUAGCGUUGUCCACGGAAUCAAGC